AGGGGCUUAGCUCAGCUGGGAGAGCAUCUGCCUUACAAGCAGAGGGUCGGCGGUUCGAGCCCGUCAGCCCCCA
rnacentral:tRNA from 1 species